rnacentral:rRNA from 1 species
AUGAACGCUGGCGGCGUGCCUCAUCCAUGCCAGUCGCGCGAACAGACGAGGAGCUUGCUCCUCUGACGUUAGCGGCGGACGGGUUAGUAACACGUGGAUAACCUACCUAUAAGACUGGGAUAACUUCGGGAAACCGGAGCUAAUACCGGAUAAUAUAUUGAACCGCAUGGUUCAAUAGUGAAAGACGGUUUUGCUGUCACUUAUAGAUGGAUCCUCGCCGCAUUAGCUAGUUGGUAAGGUAACGGCUUACCAAGGCAACGAUGCGUAGCCGACCUGAGAGGGGGAUCGGCCACACUGGAACUGAGACACGGUCCAGACACCUACGGGAGGCAGCAGUAGGGAAUCUUCCGCAAUGGGCGAAAGCCUGACGGAGCAACGCCGCGUGAGUGAUGAAGGUCUUCGGAUCGUAAAACUCUGUUAUUAGGGAAGAACAAAUGUGUAAGUAACUAUGCACGUCUUGACGGUACCUAAUCAGAAAGCCACGGCUAACUACGUG